UACGUAGGGCGCAAGCGUUGUCCGGAUUUAUUGGGCGUAAAGAGCUCGUAGGCGGUCUGUCGCGUCGGAUGUGAAAACCCGGAACUCAACUCCGGGCCUGCAUUCGAUACGGGCGGGCUAGAGUUCGGUAGGGGGAGACUGGAAUUCCUGGUGUAGCGGUGAAAUGCGCAGAUAUCAGGAGGAACACCGGUGGCGAAGGCGGGUCUCUGGGCCAAUACUGACGCUGAGGUGCGAAAGCGUGGGGGAGCAAACAGG
rnacentral:rRNA from 1 species